CAGCCUUGGAUGCCAGCCAACCGCCCGCGUGCCGGGAUGAACGCCCUUCGGGUUGUUAAACCGCCUUUUAGUAGGGAAGAAGCCUUUCGGGGUGACGGUACCUUGCCAGAAAAAGGACCGGCUAACCUACGUGGCCAGCAGCCGCGGUAAUACGUAGGGUCCGAGCGUUGUCCCCGGAAUUAUUGGGCGUAAAGAGCUCGUAGGCGGUUUGUCGCGUCUGCUGUGAAAUCCCGGGGCUCAAACUCCGGGCCUGCAGUGGGUACGGGCAGACUUUGAGUGGUGUAGGGGAGACUGGAAUUCCUGAUGUAGCGGUGGAAUGCGCAGAUAUCAGGAGGAACACCGAUGGCGAAGGCAGGUCUCUGGGCACUUACUGACGCUGAGGAGCGAAAGCGUGGGGAGCGAACAGGAUUAGAUACCCUGGUAGUCCACGCCGUAAACGUUGGGCGCUAGAUGUGGGGACCUUUCCACGGUUUCCGUGUCGUAGCUAACGCAUUAAGCGCCCCGCCUGGGGAGUACGGCCGCAAGGCUAAAACUCAAAGGAAUUGACGGGGGCCCGCACAAGCGGCGGAGCAUGCGGAUUAAUUCGAUGCAACGCGAAGAACCUUACCAAGGCUUGACAUAUACGAGAACACCGUAGAGAUACGGGACUCUUUGGACACUCGUAUACAGGUGGUGCAUGGUUGUCGUCAGCUCGUGUCGUGAGAUGUUGGGUUAAGUCCCGCAACGAGCGCAACCCUCGUCGCAUGUUGCCAGCACGUUAUGGUGGGGACUCAUGUGAGACUGCCGGGGUCAACUCGGAGGAAGGUGGGGAUGACGUCAAAUCAUCAUGCCCCUUAUGUCUUGGGCUUCACGCAUGCUACAAUGGCCGGUACAAAGGGCUGCGAUGUCGUAAGGCGGAGCGAAUCCCAAAAAGCCGGUCUCAGUUCGGAUUGAGGUCUGCAACUCGACCUCAUGAAGUCGGAGUCGCUAGUAAUCGCAGAUCAGCAACGCUGCGGUGAAUACGUUCCCGGGCCUUGUACACACCGCCCGUCAAGUCAUGAAAGUCGGUAACACCCGAAGCCGGUGGCCUAACCCUUGUGGAGGGAGCCGUCGAAGGGGAUUGA
rnacentral:rRNA from 1 species